rnacentral:rRNA from 1 species
AGGCAGCAGUAGGGAAUUUUGGAUAAUGGGCGCAAGCCUGAUCCAGCCAUGCCGCGUGAGUGAAGAAGGCCUUCGGGUUGUAAAGCUCUUUCGCAAGGGAAGAAAACGUGUGGGCUAAUAUCCUGCGCGGAUGACGGUACCUUGACAAGAAGCACCGGCUAACUACGUGCCAGCAGCCGCGGUAAUACGUAGGGUGCGAGCGUUAAUCGGAAUUACUGGGCGUAAAGCGUGCGCAGGCGGUUGUGUAAGACAGGUGUGAAAUCCCCGGGCUUAACCUGGGAACUGCGCUUGUGACUGCACGGCUAGAGUACGGCAGAGGGGGGUGGAAUUCCUGGUGUAGCAGUGAAAUGCGUAGAUAUCAGGAGGAACACCGAUGGCGAAGGCAGCCCCCUGGGCCUGUACUGACGCUCAUGCACGAAAGCGUGGGGAGCAAACAGGAUUAGAUACCCCGGUAG